rnacentral:rRNA from 1 species
GACGAACGCUCGCGGCGUGCUUAACACAUGCAAGUCGAACGGAAAGGCCCCUUUGGGGGUACUCGAGUGGCGAACGGGUGAGUAACACGUGAGUAACCUGCCCUUGACUUCGGGAUAACUUCAGGAAACUGGGGCUAAUACCGGAUAGGAAUCCUUGCUGCAUGGUGGGGGUUGGAAAGCUUCGGCGGUUUUGGAUGGACUCACGGCUUAUCAGCUUGUUGGUGGGGUAGUGGCUUACCAAGGCUUUGACGGGUAGCCGGCCUGAGAGGGCGACCGGCCACAUUGGGACUGAGAUACGGCCCAGACUCCUACGGGAGGCAGCAGUGGGGAAUAUUGCACAAUGGGCGGAAGCCUGAUGCAGCAACGCCGCGUGCGGGAUGACGGCCUUCGGGUUGUAAACCGCUUUCAGCAGGGGCGAAGCUUGUGGUGACGGUACCUGCAGAAGAAGCACCGGCUAACUACGUG